UACGGGGGGGGCAAGCGUUGUUCGGAAUUACUGGGCGUAAAGGGCUCGUAGGCGGCCAACUAAGUCAGACGUGAAAUCCCUCGGCUUAACCGGGGAACUGCAUCUGAUACUGGAUGGCUUGAGUUCGGGAGAGGGAUGCGGAAUUCCAGGUGUAGCGGUGAAAUGCGUAGAUAUCGAGAGGAAUACCGGUGGCGAAGGCGGCAUCCUGGACCGACAUUGACGCUGAGGAGCGAAAGCUAGGGGAGCAAACGGG
rnacentral:rRNA from 1 species